rnacentral:rRNA from 1 species
AUCUGCCCUGCACUCUGGGACAAGCCCUGGAAACGGGGUCUAAUACCGGAUAUGACUGUCCAUCGCAUGGUGGAUGGUGUAAAGCUCCGGCGGUGCAGGAUGAGCCCGCGGCCUAUCAGCUUGUUGGUGAGGUAGUGGCUCACCAAGGCGACGACGGGUAGCCGGCCUGAGAGGGCGACCGGCCACACUGGGACUGAGACACGGCCCAGACUCCUACGGGAGGCAGCAGUGGGGAAUAUUGCACAAUGGGCGAAAGCCUGAUGCAGCGACGCCGCGUGAGGGAUGACGGCCUUCGGGUUGUAAACCUCUUUCAGCAGGGAAGAAGCGAAAGUGACGGUACCUGCAGAAGAAGCGCCGGCUAACUACGUGCCAGCAGCCGCGGUAAUACGUAGGGCGCAAGCGUUGUCCGGAAUUAUUGGGCGUAAAGAGCUCGUAGGCGGCUUGUCACGUCGGUUGUGAAAGCCCGGGGCUUAACCCCGGGUCUGCAGUCGAUACGGGCAGGCUAGAGUUCGGUAGGGGAGAUCGGAAUUCCUGGUGUAGCGGUGAAAUGCGCAGAUAUCAGGAGGAACA